GACACCAACCAAGCCAAUGUGUGUCCGUGGAGCCUGUCCAGGGUCCAUUUCUCUCCCACUCCACCCUCCUCCACUCCCCUCUAAUCAGAGGAGGAUCGCCCUCCACUCUCACACGCCACCGCAGCUUUGCAGGAGGGCAGCUGGAAUCUGAGAACCUUACCUGCUGCACGGAGACCUAAGAGAACUCGCGCUUCCCUGCCACCAACACCCCAUGCCAUUCCUAUGCACCCCUCCAAAGUCCCAUUUACUUCUUCCAAGAGAAACUGUAAACGGGAUUGCCCCCACCCCCCAACCCCACGAUUGAAUGGAAGCUCUGUACUGUACCGACUUCUGGAUAUGCCCUGGAUUGAGUUUAGGGAAUGUCUGGGGGGAGGGCACCUCGAGCCUUGUCCAAGUUAGUCAGAAGGCGGUAUUAGGCAGGAAAGCGCCCACUGGAGAAACAGCUGGGAUGCAGACCGACUAUGGAAAUCUCAGUUCUAGGAACCUUGUCCUUUCGUCCCAAAGGCUGAAUGAACAGCUUCAUCUGGAACCUGCAUGGUGUUUUCAUAACAGACAGUGAAAGCAUACAAGAUCAAGACAAGUCACACACAUUUAAAGCUUCUGCUCACAUGUGGCAUGAGAUACAUUCCCCUACAUGCCUUUGGCAAACCCCGAUAUGCCUUUGGCAAAGAAAGAAACAUAGGCUUCAAGUUCAUGGGGAAGGGAAGUACUGGCCGAAAGGUGACUACAGGAAGGAACACUGAUUCUGAGAUUCCAGGAGACAUAUGAUGUCUGUGUUUUAGUCA